ACGCACGCUGGCGGCGUGCCUAAUACAUGCCAGUAGAACGCUGAAGGAGGAGCUUGCUCUUCUGGAUGAGUUGCGAACGGGUGAGUAACGCGUAGGUAACCUGCCUGGUAGCGGGGGAUAACUAUUGGAAACGAUAGCUAAUACCGCAUAAGAGUAGAUGUUGCAUGACAUUUACUUAAAAGGUGCAAUUGCAUCACUACCAGAUGGACCUGCGUUGUAUUAGCUAGUUGGUGGGGUAACGGCUUACCAAGGCGACGAUACAUAGCCGACCUGAGAGGGUGAUCGGCCACACUGGGACUGAGACACGGCCCAGACUCCUACGGGAGGCAGCAGUAGGGAAUCUUCGGCAAUGGACGGAAGUCUGACCGAGCAACGCCGCGUGAGUGAAGAAGGUUUUCGGAUCGUAAAGCUCUGUUGUAAGAGAAGAACGAGUGUGAGAGUGGAAAGUUCACACUGUGACGGUAUCUUACCAGAAAGGGACGGCUAACUACGUG
rnacentral:rRNA from 1 species